rnacentral:rRNA from 1 species
CCCGCACAAGCGGUGGAGCAUGUGGUUAAUUCGAAGCAACGCGAAGAACCUUACCAGGUCUUGACAUCCCCUGACAACCCGAGAGAUCGGGCGUUCCCCCUUCGGGGGACAGGGUGACAGGUGGUGCAUGGUUGUCGUCAGCUCGUGUCGUGAGAUGUUGGGUUAAGUCCCGCAACGAGCGCAACCCUCGACCUUAGUUGCCAGCAUUCAGUUGGGCACUCUAAGGUGACUGCCGGCUAAAAGUCGGAGGAAGGUGGGGAUGACGUCAAAUCAUCAUGCCCCUUAUGACCUGGGCUACACACGUGCUACAAUGGGCGGUACAAAGGGUCGCGAACCCGCGAGGGGGAGCCAAUCCCAAAAAGCCGCUCUCAGUUCGGAUUGCAGGCUGCAACUCGCCUGCAUGAAGCCGGAAUCGCUAGUAAUCGCGGAUCAGCAUGCCGCGGUGAAUACGUUCCCGGGCCUU